rnacentral:lncRNA from 1 species
AUUUUACCUUAAAUUUAUUAUUAGCCGUCAAACAUAAUUGAUAUUUAUUUGAAUAUUGCUCAUUUGCAACAUCAUUAUCAUUUGUUUUGCCAUUGGUUGAAUAAGAUGUUUUUUCAAAUGAAUCAUCCUUUUUUGCUUCUCAAUGGAAUUUCUCUAGCUUUUUAAGAAUCUCUUUCACUGUUAAGUAAUUAAAAACUCUAUUGAAUGCAGUGAUACCCAAAGCACAAAGAAGAACAUUCAUAGUUUUGAAAUUGGUCUGCAUUUUUCUUGUUUCUGCAUCAAUCCACUUUCACCUCUCAUCCUUGAGGUCUUUCCAAAAGACCACCCUCAAAACAAAAGGGGUUUGCCUGCGGUUCGCUUUACAGAAUGAACCUGAUUAUAUUAUUGUCUAGGAUCUCGACCUACACUAGAAGACUAUUUAGUAGUAACGGCUAUUGCACUUGAAUUUUCUUUUUAAAAAAAUUUUCUCAUCAAUUGUAGAAGAAAUCUUUGUAGGCAUGUAAAAACCAUCCAUAAU